UACGUAGGGGGCUAGCGUUGUCCGGAUUUAUUGGGCGUAAAGAGCUCGUAGGCGGCUCGUUGCGUCGGCUGUGAAAACCCGCAGCUCAACUGUGGGCUUGCAGCCGAUACGGGCGGGCUUGAGUUCGGUAGGGGAGACUGGAAUUCCUGGUGUAGCGGUGAAAUGCGCAGAUAUCAGGAGGAACACCGGUGGCGAAGGCGGGUCUCUGGGCCGAAACUGACGCUGAGGAGCGAAAGCGUGGGGAGCGAACAGG
rnacentral:rRNA from 1 species